UACGAAGGGGGCUAGCGUUGUUCGGAAUUACUGGGCGUAAAGCGUGCGCAGGCGGUUUUUUCAAGUCAGAGGUGAAAAGCCCCCGGGCUCAACCCGGGAAUGGCCUUUGAGACUGGAUGGCUAGAGUGUGAGAGAGGUGAGUGGAAUUCCCAGUGUAGAGGUGAAAUUCGUAGAUAUCAAGCGGAACACCGGUGGCGAAGGCGGCCUUCUGGACGAUGACUGACGCUGAGACGCGAAAGCGUGGGGAGCAAACAGG
rnacentral:rRNA from 1 species